UAGGGAAUCUUCCACAAUGGACGAAAGUCUGAUGGAGCAACGCCGCGUGAGUGAAGAAGGUUUUCGGAUCGUAAAGCUCUGUUGUUGGUGAAGAAGGAUAGAGGCAGUAACUGGUCUUUAUUUGACGGUAAUCAACCAGAAAGUCACGGCUAACUACGUGCCAGCAGCCGCGGUAAUACGUAGGUGGCAAGCGUUGUCCGGAUUUAUUGGGCGUAAAGCGAGCGCAGGCGGAAUGAUAAGUCUGAUGUGAAAGCCCACGGCUCAACCGUGGAACUGCAUCGGAAACUGUCAUUCUUGAGUGCAGAAGAGGAGAGUGGAACUCCAUGUGUAGCGGUGGAAUGCGUAGAUAUAUGGAAGAACACCAGUGGCGAAGGCGGCUCUCUGGUCUGCAACUGACGCUGAGGCUCGAAAGCAUGGGUAGCGAACAGGAUUAGAUACCCUGGUAGUCCAUGCCGUAAACGAUGAGCGCUAGGUGUUGGGGACUUUCUGGUCCUCAGUGCCGCAGCAAACGCAUUAAGCGCUCCGCCUGGGGAGUACGACCGCAAGGUUGAAAC
rnacentral:rRNA from 1 species